GGGGGGUUCUUUCCGAGGUGGUUCGGGCUCGGCCCGAUCCUCCCACCCUUUGUGUACCUACCUCUGUUGCUUUGGCGGGCCGCGGUCCUCCGCGGCCGCCCCCCUCCCCGGGGGGGUGGCCAGCGCCCGCCAGAGGACCAUCAAACUCCAGUCAGUAAACGAUGCAGUCUGAAAAACAUUUAAUAAACUAAAACUUUCAACAACGGAUCUCUUGGUUCUGGCAUCGAUGAAGAACGCAGCGAAAUGCGAUAAGUAAUGUGAAUUGCAGAAUUCAGUGAAUCAUCGAAUCUUUGAACGCACAUUGCGCCCUUUGGUAUUCCGAAGGGCAUGCCUGUUCGAGCGUCAUUACAACCCUCAAGCUCUGCUUGGUAUUGGGCACCGUCCUUUGCGGGCGCGCCUCAAAGACCUCGGCGGUGGCGUCUUGCCUCAAGCGUAGUAGAACAUACAUCUCGCUUCGGAGCGCAGGGCGUCGCCCGCCGGACGAACCUUCUGAACUUUUCUCAAGGUUGACCUCGGAUCAGGUAGGGAUACCCRYUKWWYUUWAGCAUAUCAAUAAGCGGAGGAA
rnacentral:rRNA from 1 species